CCCUUAGAUGUUCUGGGCUGCACGCGUGUUACAAUCGGGAGUACAACAAGAUUGCAAAUCCUAGUGGAUGAGUGGUUCUUCGAAAUUUUCUGAAGACUGGGAUCGUUGAUUGAAAUUAUUCAACUCAAACGAGGAAUUCCUUGUAAUUGUAAUUCAUUAUAUUGUAAUGAAUACGUCCCUGCCCUUUGUACACACCGCCCGUCGCUCCUACCGAUUGAACGAUCCGGUGAAUUAUUUGGAGUAGCUCUGGAAGUUGCAGAACUUCCUAUGUCACGAAAUUUUGUAAACCUUAUCGUUUAGAGGAAGGAAAAGUCGUAACA
rnacentral:rRNA from 1 species